rnacentral:rRNA from 1 species
UACGUAGGGUGCGAGCGUUGUCCGGAAUUAUUGGGCGUAAAGGGCUCGUAGGCGGUCUGUUGCGUCAGGAGUGAAAACUCGGGGCUUAGCCCCGAGCCUGCUUCUGAUACGGGCAGACUAGAGGUAUGCAGGGGAGAACGGAAUUCCUGGUGUAGCGGUGAAAUGCGCAGAUAUCAGGAGGAACACCCGUGGCGAAAGCGGCUCUCUGGAACGGUACUGACGCUGAGACGCGAAAGCGUGGGGAGCGAACAGG